UUUUAAUGUGUGUAUUCACUUGAGCAUAUCUGCCAAGUGUAAGGUUAAAUGAUGUAAGGCCAUGAGUGCUAUGUGGUGUUUGAUCCAUGUAAUUAGGUUGAUGAGUGACUAAGUUUAAAAGUAGUGUUUUGUGUGGUCCUAAAGCUAAGGCCAUCAGUUAAAUGUAAAGCAGUGUUAGUGCGCAUUUUUCUGUGCAGUACAAAUAUUCCUCUGCAAUACUUUUGCAGCAGAGAGAACAAGAAAGAAAAACUUUUCGGUUCAACUUCUAUCUUUGCUUUGCUUCUGUUCAGCAUUCUGAAAAUAAACCCAGCAAAAUCAAGUUACACUAACAUGGCCUCAGAGCCUUGUUUCGAUUAGAUCUGGGCGUGUUUCUGUGAGCUCAAACAUCACCGUUUCUGGACUCGGUGAAGUUUGCCGGAGUUUGUUUGUGAGCUAAGAACUACGUGUUUCUGGAUUCACACAAGCUCACGAUGGCUGGAUCUGGGAGUGCUGAAGUGAGGACCCCGAUCUUCUCCGGUGAGAACUACGAGUUCUGGAGAAUCAAAAUGGUUACCAUUUUCAAGUCAUAUGGACUGUGGAAUCUGGUGGAAAAAGGGAUUUCGGUUUCUGAUUCGAAGAAGAAGAAAGCUAAGACUGAUGAAGAUACAGAUGUUGAUGCUGACGAUGAUGAGAAAAUGGCUGCAACCUUCAUGAAAGAUGCAAAAGCACUCGGAAUCAUUCAAAACGCAGUCUCUGAUCAGAUUUUCCCUCGAAUCGCAAACGCAGACUCAGCAAAAAUGGCAUGGGAUCUGUUAUAUGGCGAAUAUCACGGUGGGGAUCAGGUAAGAUUUGUGAAACUCCAGAAUCUUAAACGAGAAUUUGAAUACACUAGAAUGCGUGAUGAUGAAUCUUUGACUGGGUAUCUUACUCGUUUAAAUGAUCUGAUUAAUCAAAUGAAGACGUUUGGUGAAAUUCUGUCAAAUGAGAGAUUAGUUCAGAAGGUGUUAAUCAGUCUCACUAAGAUAUAUGAUCCUAUAUGCUUAGUGAUAGAAAACACCAAAUGUUUAGAAUCUGUUGAAUUGCAAGAGGUACUAGCUAUAUUGAAGAGUCAAGAGCAGAGGUUUGAUUUGCAUUCCUCUGAUGCAACUGAGAGAGCAUUUUCUUCUCUUACUGUUAGUUCAAAAGGGCAGAAUCGAAGUUAUGCUCAGUCUAGUACUUUUAAACCACAGAAAAAUUGGAAUCAAAAGGGUAAGAAAUGGGAUUUAAAACCAAAGUUUCAGCAAAAAUCAUACACAAAUGUUGCACAGAAUAGUAUUUCCUCACAGAUUAUGGGUCAAGAGAGUGUAAAACCUCAAUGUAAGGUGUGUUCAAAGUUUCAUUAUGGUGAAUGUAGAUAUAAGGGGAAAUCCAAGUGCCAUAACUGUGAUAGAUUUGGUCAUUGGGCCAGAGAGAGUGUACUGUUGGAAAGUCUGUUCAAAAGGCAAACUGUGCAAGUCAAAUGGAAGUGACAGGAAACUUAUUUUAUGCAAACUGUGCAGUUGCUGAGACUAAGGUUAAUGGAGAUUGGUACAUAGAUAGUGGCUGCAGUAAUCAUAUGACAGGAAAUGUUGAUCUUCUUGUUGAUGUGAAUACAAAUGUUGCAGGGAAAGUUCAAAUGCCAACAGGAGGGUUAGUUAAUGUGGCAGGAAUGGGAUCACUGGAAAUUGAGACUAACAGAGGAAGAAAAUACAUUCGAGAAGUCAUGUACUUACCUGGUUUGAAGGAGAAUCUAUUAAGUGUAGGACAAAUGGAUGAGCACGGAUACUAUCUUGUGUUUGGUGGACAUAUGUGUACUGUUUUUGAUGGUCCUUCUCUGAAAUGUCAAAUUAUCCGUGUAAAAAUGAAAGAAAACAGGUGCUAUCCUCUAUCUCUACGGCCUGAGAAACAACUUGUGUUGAAGACCAGUUUUGCUCAUUGUUCUCUGACUUGGCACAGAAGAUUAGGUCACCUACACUUUGGUGGAAUUAAGAAAUUGAAGGAUAAUGACAUGGUACAUGGAUUACCAUAUCUAGAUGAGUAUGACAAAGUGUGUGAAGGCUGUCAAUAUGGUAAGCAACACAGAGAAAGGUUUCCUAGUGGUCAAGCACAAAGAGCUGGUGCUCCACUUGAAUUGGUUCAUGUAGAUCUGUGUGGACCGAUGAGAAUCGAGUCUACUGGAGGAAACAAGUACUUUAUGUUGCUUGUAGAUGAUGCAACCAUGAUGAUAUGGGUGUAUUUUCUUAGAUUCAAAUAUGAAGCUUUUACUUGUUUUCAGAAAUUCAAGGCCAUGACUGAGUUGCAAAGUGGAAUGAAGGUAAAAUGUGUAAGGAGUGAUAGAGGAGGGGAGUUCUUAUCAAAUGAAUUCAAGCAAUACUGUGACACAGAGGGAAUCCAAAGGCAACUGUCUCUCUCUUACACUCCACAGCAAAAUGGAGUGGUUGAAAGAAAAAACAGAACUGUGAUUGAAAUGGCCAAGUCUAUGCUUCAUGACAAAGGAAUGCCUUACUAUAUGUGGGCAGAAGCUGUGCAUACUGCUGUCUAUCUGUUAAACAGAUGCCCUACCAAAUCACUGGAUAGUAUAACACCUUUUGAAGCUUACAGCAAAAGGAAACCAGGUAUUGCUCAUUUGAAGGUUUUUGGCUCAGUUUGUUAUGUUCAUACUCCAUCCGAGCUAAGACACAAGCUAGAACCCAAGAGUAUAAAAGGAGUCUUUGUUGGAUAUGCAAAAUGUGAGAAAGGCUAUAGAGUAUUUGAUCCAAUCUCUAAGAGACUGAUUCUGUCAAGAGAUGUUGUGUUCGAUGAAAACUCAGCUUGGGAUUGGGAAAGAAGCACUGAAAGAUAUAUGUCACUGCCUACUUAUGAGUUUGACUCUGUUGAUACACAAAGAAGUGAAAAUGCAGAAAAUGACCCUCAAGUUUCAAGUGAUUUAUCAUCUGGAAUAUUGGAAGAAGCUGCAAGUGGUAUUGAUGAUACACAGAUCAACUCUCAGUCAAGUGCAGGUGUGAAUGACACUCAGUUUUUUGAUCAUACUCCAUUAAAAUGGAGAAAGCUGGAUGAUGUUCUUGCUCAGUGUAAUCUUUGUAUUAUAGAACCAGAGAAAUAUGAAGAUGCAGCUAAGGAUGAAUCUUGGAUGAAUGCUAUGAAGGAUGAGCUCUCCAUGAUUGAAAAGAAUGCAACCUGGGAGUUAGUGGACAGGCCAAGUAACAAGCCUAUAAUUGGAGUAAAAUGGGUGUGUUUAAAACCAAACUCAACCUGGAUGGAACUGUGCAAAAGAACAAGGCAAGGCUUGUUGCAAAGGGAUAUGCACAGAAACCAGGAAUAGACUACAAUGAGACCUUUGCUCCUGUUGCUCGAUUAGAUACAAUCAGAACCCUUAUAGCAUUGGCUGCACAAAAGAGUUGGAAACUCUAUCAACUUGAUGUUAAAUCGGCUUUUUUAAAUGGUGUUCUAGAGGAGGAGGUUUAUGUGGAGCAACCUGAUGGUUUUGUAGCUAAAGGGGAGGAAGACAGGGUAUAUAAACUUCACAAAGCCUUGUAUGGUCUAAAACAGGCACCACGGGCCUGGUAUGGAGAGAUAGAUACAUAUUUCUCACAAUGUGGUUUCACAAGAAGUUUAAGUGAACCAACACUGUACAUCAAGACAGAAGAGGAAGGCAUUUUGAUUGUGUCGAUCUAUGUGGAUGACAUAAUCUAUACUGGGAGCAACAAACAAAUGCUUGAAGAAUUCAAGGAAGACAUGAAACGAAAGUAUGAGAUGACUGAUUUGGGCCUUCUCCAUCAUUUUCUUGGAAUGGGAAUAAUUCAAACCACUUCAAGCAUUUUCAUCCACCAAAAAGAAAUAUGCAAACUCUCUGUUAGACAAAUUUGGUCUAAAAGAGUGCAAACCUGUGCUUACUCCAUUGGUUGCAACUGAGAAGUUAACCACGGAUGAUGGAAGUGGUGCUGCAAGUGAAGAAUUAUAGAAGUUUGGUGGGAAGUCUCUUAUAUCUCAUUGCAACCAGGCCUGAUAUUAUGUAUGCAUCCAGUCUGUUAGCCAGAUUUAUGCACUGCCCUACCAGUAAGCAUGUUGGAACUGCUAAAAGAGUGCUAAGAUACAUUAAGGGUACACUUGAUUAUGGUCUGGAAUAUGUGAAGGGUAAGGACUCAAUGUUAAUUGGGUUCUGUGACAGUGACUGGAGUGGAUCAAUUGAGGACAGUAAAAGUACUUCUGGUUAUGCUUUCUCCUUUGGCAGUGGAGUAUUCUCUUGGGCAUCUGUGAAGCAAAAUUGCGUUGCUCUUUCCACUGCAGAAGCAGAGUACAUCAGUGCUUCAGAAGCAACUACUCAAGCCAUUUGGUUGAGAUUUGUUCUUGAAGACUUUGGUGAAUUUCAAACCGAAGCCACUCCAGUGCACUGUGACAACACCUCAGCAAUUGCAAUCACCAAGAACUCUGUGUUUCAUCAAAAGACCAAACACAUUAACAGAAGAUACCAUUUCAUCAAGGAUGCACUGAAGGAUGGCAUCAUUGAUCUGGUGUACUGUCCAACUAAUGAGCAACUUGCUGAUAUCUUCACAAAACCUUUGCCUAAAGAUCGGUUUAAUUAUCUCAGGAGCAUGCUAGGAGUGAAAUCAGCUCAAGACUUAAAGGGGAGUGUUGAAUUAUAAGUCUCUAGCUGAUUGAGUAUUAGAAAUAAGAUGAGUUUUAAUGUGUGUAUUCACUUGAGCAUAUCUGCCAAGUGUAAGGUUAAAUGAUGUAAGGCCAUGAGUGCCAUGUGGUGUUUGAUCCAUGUAAUUAGGUUGAUGAGUGACUAAGAUUAAAAGUAGUGUUUUGUGUGGUCCUAAAGCUAAGGCCAUCAGUUAAAUGUAAAGCAGUGUUAGUGCGCAUUUUUCUGUGCAGUACAAAUAUUCCUCUGCAAUACUUUUGCAGCAGAGAGAACAAGAAAGAAAAACUUUUCGGUUCAACUUCUAUCUUUGCUUUGCUUCUGUUCAGCAUUCUGAAAAUAAACCCAGCAAAAUCAAGUUACACUAACAAGCUUCUAUCUGCAUCCGCAACCAUUGACAUGACACUUAAAUAUUUUGAAACCCUCUGUUGGAGGACAAUGCUAUGUAAAAUAUAGAAUUACAUACCUGAUCGGAGAUAUUCUUUUAGGUUUUCGUUAAGCAUGUACUUGUAUAUAAGUGCCAACUUGUCGAUAUCAUCACAGUAUCCAAUAAAUGAGGCCAAGUUUCUAUGAUGGAUUCUCUUCAGGAGCUCAACCUGCAGCCACAAGGAACUCAUCAAUCUCUAACCAACGAGACGAGGCAUUUAACUUGCAUUCCAAGGAAUUAAAUUCAAACUGUCAAACCUCUGUUUGGAACUCCCUAGCUGAGCUAGCUCCUUGAGAUGACGAUGUAGAACCAC
rnacentral:lncRNA from 1 species